CUUGACCGAGCCGAGCCGCAACGGCCGGUCCCCGGGCCGGUCCUGGCCGUAGGUGGCCAUCAGGGCCUGCGCCUC
rnacentral:antisense_RNA from 1 species